AUCGCUUCUCGGCCUUUUGGCUAAGAUCAAGUGUAGUAAUAGCCCAUAGUUUAUUUCACUUUAUCUAUUCAUCUGAUAAGCUUAGAUUUUUAAUUGUAAUAUGUACGUUACUUAUACUUAAUAUAGCCACU
rnacentral:snRNA from 1 species